AGAGAGCGGAAGCCGAAACUAGGCGGCUUCACAGAUCUUGCACUGGGUCCCUGUGCCUGCCUGCCAUCGAGGAUCCAAAAUCUAAGGAUGAUGCUCGGAGUCCCACCACAGCCUGUCAGAGUUCACAUAGCGAAACCCAAAGCGCCUGCCCCUGUGACAUCAUAAAUUCAACCCACUGCUGGAGGAAUUCACGGAUACAGGAACCGUAAAUGCAGAGACGAGCUGGGAUUGCGUGUGCAGUGGGAACAGCCUCAGAAUAGCUCAUCAUCUAACAGAGCGCUGCGUCAGUGCAGAUACUGAGUGUUAAUUGUCAAGUUGGAGGUACCCAGAAGCACCUGAGAGAUGGGCUUCUGGGCAUGCCUGUGGGGGACGAUCAUAAAUGAACUGAUGCAGGAAGACCCAUCUGAACUGAGGGCAGGACCUGGUGUGGAUCCUGGACUGUAUAAAACGGAGCGAUGAAGCUAAGAGAAACAUGCCCUUCUUGCCUUCUGCUUCCUGAUUGUAGAUGGGAUGUGAUCAGCUGCAUCAGGAUCCUGCUACGGAUGCCCUUGCCUGAACCGUGAGCCAGAAUGAACCAUUUUCCCUUGAGGUUGCCUUUGUCAGUGUUGUCUUUCACAAUAACGGGAAAAAUAUUAAGACACUGACCUGGCGGGGAAAGACAAACCAGGCCAUACCAUACCAGCAAGGAGGCAGAGGCAGGAGGAUGGUGGAUCUGAGAACAGCUCAGAUUACAUAGUGAGAUACUAUCUCUGAAGUCAGCUAGGAGAACAGCUAAGGAGACAGUUGGUAAAAACGUUUUGUCUUGCAAACAGAUGACAUCAGUUUGAUCUCUGGGACUCAAGGAAAAAUAGCCACUUGCAAUGUCAGAUCUGGAGAGGCAGAAGCAGGUAGAUCCUUGGAGCUACUGACCGGCCUGCCUCGCCUGAUUGGUGAGCUCAGGUCUCAGGGAGAAACUGUCUCAAAACAUAAGGCAGAUGCUCCUGAGGAAUAAUACCUGAGGUUGUCUUUGGGCCCACACACACAUGCACACAUACACACACACACACACACACAGAUGUGCACCUACACACACAGAAACAUACACAUACAACACAUACCAAAAAAAAAAAAAAAAGAGCAAAUGGGUACUGGGAUGUGGUUGGUUUGAAUAGGAAUGGCCCCCCAUAGACUUGUAUUUGAAUGCUUGCCCCAUAGAGAGUGGCGCUACUAGGAAGUGUGGCUUUGUUGGAGUAGCUAUGGCCUUACUGGAGGAAGUGUGUCACUGUGGGGGUGGGCUUUGAGGUCUUCUAUGCUCAAGCUCAGCCCAGUGUGGCACACAGUCUCCUGCUGCCCGUGGAUCAAGAUGUCGAACUCUCAGCUCCUUCUCCAGCACCAUGCCUGCCUGGAUGCUGCCAUGUUCCCGCCUUGAUGAUAAUGGACUGAACCUCUGAACCUGUAAGCCAGCCCCAAUUACAUGUUGUCCUUAUAAGA
rnacentral:lncRNA from 1 species